rnacentral:rRNA from 1 species
UACGAAGGGGGCUAGCGUUGCUCGGAAUUACUGGGCGUAAAGCGCGCGUAGGCGGAUCGCUAAGUCAGGGGUGAAAUCCCAGGGCUCAACCCUGGAACUGCCUUUGAUACUGACGAUCUGGAGAUCGGGAGAGGUUGGUGGAAUUCCGAGUGUAGAGGUGAAAUUCGUAGAUAUUCGGAGGAACACCAGAAGCGAAGGCGGCCAACUGGCCCGAUACUGACGCUGAGGCGCGAAAGCGUGGGGAGCAAACAGG